rnacentral:rRNA from 1 species
AACGAACGCUGGCGGCUUGCCUAACACAUGCAAGUCGAACGAGACCUUCGGGUCUAGUGGCGCACGGGUGCGUAACGCGUGGGAACCUGCCCUUAGGUUCGGAAUAACUCCCCGAAAGGGGUGCUAAUACCGGAUAAUGUCUUCGGACCAAAGAUUUAUCGCCUUUGGAUGGGCCCGCGUUGGAUUAGCUAGUUGGUAGGGUAAAAGCCUACCAAGGCGACGAUCCAUAGCUGGUCUGAGAGGAUGAUCAGCCACACUGGGACUGAGACACGGCCCAGACUCCUACGGGAGGCAGCAGUGGGGAAUAUUGGACAAUGGGCGAAAGCCUGAUCCAGCAAUGCCGCGUGAGUGAUGAAGGCCUUAGGGUUGUAAAGCUCUUUUACCCGGGAUGAUAAUGACAGUACCGGGAGAAUAAGCGCCGGCUAACUCCGUG